rnacentral:lncRNA from 1 species
UGUUUGCUAAAUGGAUACUGAUGUAUGCGUGGAAGUGCCUCCACGAAAUGUCUCCAAUUCCAUAUUUAAUCUGGAGCUAAAAUAACAUUUCAUAAAUGUAAAUUUUAUCAUUACAGUCUCCCCUACACCAACUGGCAAUCUUUCAAUGGCUCCUCAGUAAUCUUGGUACAAAGCUGAAAGAUAUAAGGCAUGGCCAAGAAGUACCUCUGUCAUCUGGCUGACAGAGAUUCUUUCAGCUUUAACUUCCAUUUGUUCCUCCAGGAACUUGAUCUGACUUCAUACUAUCAAAACAAGAUACCACUCAGUAUCAGAAACAAACCAAAAAAUUAAAAAGCGUAGUUUGUUCCUUGCUGAGUAAGGGAGAAUUGCAAUUUCAAAGCACAGUGUCUCUUAAGAAAAUGCUGAUCUCAUAAAGGGUUUUAGGAAACUAGGAGUUCUGGAAGCGGAGAACGUUCAGAACAUAAACGUUUAGGGGUUGGCUGGCUGUCUCCUGUGGAAGCCUGGUUUCUGAACAGGGCUGCAGCUGACUGACGUUCAGAAGUAUAACCACUGGAAUGAGGCUGAUGCUGAUUGGCUUUCAGAAAAGUGAUCCUGUUCCUGAUUGGUUGAAGUCCAGGGGUGUUGUUCCUGAAACAAAGGCUGGACACAGUUGGAUUGGGACCGAUUCAAAAAUCUUUCCAGGGAAUAGUGUAUGGAAGAUGGGAGGAUAAAACAGUCUCUUUCUACUGAGGUUGCUGAACUGGGUCUGUAACGGCCGCAUUGCCCCAACCUGUAAAGUGCCUGUCUGCAGUUGUGGCGAAGGAGGCCGGCUUGCAAAGAGAAAAAGAGAGAAAAGAAGGAUACUUUGUGAUUCUCUGAGCAAUGUUAGUUUUUUCCAGCUACAUUAACCAACAAAUUUCCUUUUUAUUUCAACUGGAUUGAUUUAAGUUUUUAUCUUUUCGAGGAAAAGGUCUUGGUGAUUACAUUAUUCAAAUAAAAAUGCAAAAAGUAUUUUGUGUGUUUUCUCU